rnacentral:rRNA from 1 species
GCGGAGGGAUCAUUACCGAGUUUACAACUCCCAAACCCAAUGUGAACGUUACCAAACUGUUGCCUCGGCGGGAUCUCUGCCCCGGGUGCGUCGCAGCCCCGGACCAAGGCGCCCGCCGGAGGACCAACCAAAACUCUUUUUGUAUACCCCCUCGCGGGUUUUUUUUUAUAAUCUGAGCCUUCUCGGCGCCUCUCGUAGGCGUUUCGAAAAUGAAUCAAAACUUUCAACAACGGAUCUCUUGGUUCUGGCAUCGAUGAAGAACGCAGCGAAAUGCGAUAAGUAAUGUGAAUUGCAGAAUUCAGUGAAUCAUCGAAUCUUUGAACGCACAUUGCGCCCGCCAGUAUUCUGGCGGGCAUGCCUGUCCGAGCGUCAUUUCAACCCUCGAGCCCCUCCGGGGGGUCGGCGUUGGGGAUCGGCCCUGCCUCUUGGCGGCGGCCGUCUCCGAAAUACAGUGGCGGUCUCGCCGCAGCCUCUCCUGCGCAGUAGUUUGCACACUCGCAUCGGGAGCGCGGCGCGUCCACAGCCGUUAAACACCCAACUUCUGAAAUGUUGACCUCGGAUCAGGUAGGAAUACCCGCUGAACUUAAGCAUA